AUUGAACGCUGGCGGCAGGCCUAACACAUGCAAGUCGAGCGGAUGAAGGGAGCUUGCUCCUGGAUUCAGCGGCGGAUGGGUGAGUAAUGCCUAGGAAUCUGCCUGGUAGUGGGGGAUAACGUCCGGAAACGGGCGCUAAUACCGCAUACGUCCUGAGGGAGAAAGUGGGGGAUCUUCGGACCUCACGCUAUCAGAUGAGCCUAGGUCGGAUUAGCUAGUUGGUGGGGUAAAGGCCUACCAAGGCGACGAUCCGUAACUGGUCUGAGAGGAUGAUCAGUCACACGGGAAGUGAGACACGGUCCAGACUCCUACGGGAGGCAGCAGUGGGGAAUAUUGGACAAUGGGCGAAAGCCUGAUCCAGCCAUGCCACGUGUGUGAAGAAGGUGUUCGGAUGGUAAAGCACUGUAAGUUGGGAGGAAGGGAAGUAAGUUAAUACCUUGCUGUUUUGACGGUACCAACAGAAUAAGCACCGGCUAACUUCGUG
rnacentral:rRNA from 1 species